rnacentral:lncRNA from 1 species
UUCUGUUUUUAAUAUUAGCAAUCCUAACUCAAGUAGUUGAUCAUUGCAACUUGCCAAUCAAGAUCACAGGCUAAGAGAGUAUGAAAUUGUUCCUUGCUUAAAGGUAAGAAAAGAGUAGCAGAGUCAUAUCCCAGUCAUGCACAGCCAUCUCAUAACCAUUUCCCAGAGCCUCAACCAUCCCCUGCGUAAAGGGUGAAUGUACACCAUUGAAAAAGUGUCUUCUUUAUGCCCUACUGAAGGGAGUGAAGUUGGGGGAGGAACUCCUUCCUGUUGUUCUGCUUUCUGUGUUCCCUUUUCCUUUAAAUUUUCCGAAUUCCCUUCAGGUGAAGAAAAUGGGCAAUCUGACUCACCAAAACA